rnacentral:rRNA from 1 species
UACGAAGGGGGCUAGCGUUGUUCGGAAUCACUGGGCGUAAAGCGCGUGUAGGCGGAUCGUUAAGUCGGGGGUGAAAUCCUGGAGCUCAACUCCAGAACUGCCUUUGAUACUGGCGAUCUUGAGUCCGGGAGAGGUGAGUGGAACUGCGAGUGUAGAGGUGAAAUUCGUAGAUAUUCGCAAGAACACCAGUGGCGAAGGCGGACUCACUGGCCCGGUACUGG